AAACUAACAAGGAUUCCCCUAGUAACGGCGAGUGAAGCGGGAAGAGCUCAAAUUUGAAAUCUAAUGGCCUCAGGUCAUUCGAGUUGUAAUCUAUAGGAACGUUUUCCGUGCCGGCUCAUGUACAAGUCCCUUGGAACAGGGCGUCAUAGAGGGUGAGAAUCCCGUACUUGACAUGAACUACCGGUGCUCUGUGAUACGUCUCCAACGAGUCGAGUUGUUUGGGAAUGCAGCUCAAAAUGGGUGGUAAAUUCCAUCUAAAGCUAAAUAUUGGUGUGAGACCGAUAGCGAACAAGUACCGUGAGGGAAAGAUGAAAAGCACUUUGGAAAGAGAGUUAAAAAGUAUGUGAAAUUGUUGAAAGGGAAACGAUUGAAGUCAGUCAUGUCCUUCAGAUUCAGCUGGUUCUGCCGGUGUAUUUCUGUUGGAUGGGGUCAACAUCAGUUUUGGAUGCCGGAUAAAGGCAGGAGGAAGGUAGUACUCUCGGGUAAACUUAUAGCCUCCUGUUGCAUACGGUGACUGGGACUGAGGAACGCAGCUUGCCUUUAUGGCCGGGUUCGCCCACGUACAAGCUUAGGAUGUUGACAUAAUGCUU
rnacentral:rRNA from 1 species